ACUCAAAGGAAUUGACGGGGGCCCGCACAAGCGGCGGAGCAUGCGGAUUAAUUCGAUGCAACGCGAAGAACCUUACCUGGGUUUGACAUACGCCGGAAAGCAUCAGAGAUGGUGCCCCUUUUUGUCGGUGUACAGGUGGUGCAUGGCUGUCGUCAGCUCGUGUCGUGAGAUGUUGGGUUAAGUCCCGCAACGAGCGCAACCCUCGUUCCAUGUUGCCAGCAGGCCCUUCGGGGUGCUGGGGACUCAUGGGAGACUGCCGGGGUCAACUCGGAGGAAGGUGGGGAUGACGUCAAGUCAUCAUGCCCCUUAUGUCCAGGGCUUCACGCAUGCUACAAUGGCCGGUACAAAGGGCUGCGAUGCCGUAAGGUGGAGCGAAUCCCAAAAAGCCGGUCUCAGUUCGGAUUGGGGUCUGCAACUCGACCCCAUGAAGUCGGAGUCGCUAGUAAUCGCAGAUCAGCAACGCUGCGGUGAAUACGUUCCCGGGCCUUGUACACACCGCCCGU
rnacentral:rRNA from 1 species